GACGAACGCUGGCGGCGUGCUUAACACAUGCAAGUCGAACGAAGAGCGAUGGAAGCUUGCUUCUAUCAAUCUUAGUGGCGAACGGGUGAGUAACGCGUAAUCAACCUGCCCUUCAGAGGGGGACAACAGUUGGAAACGACUGCUAAUACCGCAUACGAUCUGACCUCGGCAUCGAGGAUAGAUGAAAGGUGGCCUCUAUUUAUAAGCUAUCACUGAAGGAGGGGAUUGCGUCUGAUUAGCUAGUUGGAGGGGUAACGGCCCACCAAGGCGAUGAUCAGUAGCCGGUUUGAGAGGAUGAACGGCCACAUUGGGACUGAGACACGGCCCAGACUCCUACGGGAGGCAGCAGUGGGGAAUCUUCCGCAAUGGACGAAAGUCUGACGGAGCAUACGCCGCGUGAGUGAUGACGGCCUUCGGGUUGUAAAUGCUCUGUUAAUCGGGACGAAAGGCCUUCUUGCGAAUAGUUAGAAGGA
rnacentral:rRNA from 1 species